UCCCUGGUAGCUCAGCUGGUAAAGAAUCUGCCUGCAAUGUGGGAGACCUGGGUUCAAUCCCUGGCUUGGGAA
rnacentral:tRNA from 1 species